rnacentral:rRNA from 1 species
UACGUAGGUGACAAGCGUUGUCCGGAUUUACUGGGCGUAAAGAGCGCGCAGGCGGUCGUUCAAGUCGAGUGUGAAAGCCCCCGGCUCAACUGGGGAGGGUCAUUCGAUACUGAUCGACUCGAAGGCAGGAGAGGGAAGUGGAAUUCCCGGUGUAGUGGUGAAAUGCGUAGAUAUCGGGAGGAACACCAGUGGCGAAGGCGACUUCCUGGACACAUAUUGACGCUGAGGUGCGAAAGCGUGGGGAGCAAACAGG